AGUGAACGCUGGCGGUAGGCCUAACACAUGCAAGUCGAACGGCAGCACGGUAAGAGCUUGCUCUUACGGGUGGCGGGUGGCGGACGGGUGAGGAAUACAUCGGAAUCUACUUUUUCGUGGGGGAUAACGUAGGGAAACUUACGCUAAUACCGCAUACGACCUACGGGUGAAAGCAGGGGAUCUUCGGACCUUGCGCGAUUGAAUGAGCCGAUGUCGGAUUAGCUAGUUGGCGGGGUAAAGGCCCACCAAGGCGACGAUCCGUAGCUGGUCUGAGAGGAUGAUCAGCCACACUGGAACUGAGACACGGUCCAGACUCCUACGGGAGGCAGCAGUGGGGAAUAUUGGACAAUGGGCGAAAGCCUGAUCCAGCCAUACCGCGUGGGUGAAGAAGGCCUUCGGGUUGUAAAGCCCUUUUGUUGGGAAAGAAAAGCAGCAGGUUAAUACCCCGCUGUUCUGACGGUACCCAAAGAAUAAGCACCGGCUAACUUCGUG
rnacentral:rRNA from 1 species